rnacentral:rRNA from 1 species
GAUGAACGCUAGCGACAGGCUUAACACAUGCAAGUCGAGGGGCAGCAUAAGGGUAGCAAUACCUUGGUGGCGACCGGCGCACGGGUGAGUAACGCGUAUGCAACUUACCUAUCAGAGGGGGAUAACCCGGCGAAAGUCGGACUAAUACCGCAUAAAACAGGGGCCCCGCAUGGGGCUAUUUGUUAAAGAUUCAUUGCUGAUAGAUAGGCAUGCGUUCCAUUAGAUAGUUGGUGAGGUAACGGCUCACCAAGUCUGUGAUGGAUAGGGGUUCUGAGAGGAAGGUCCCCCACACUGGUACUGAGACACGGACCAGACUCCUACGGGAGGCAGCAGUGAGGAAUAUUGGUCAAUGGGCGAGAGCCUGAACCAGCCAAGUCGCGUGAAGGAUGAAGGUUCUAUGGAUUGUAAACUUCUUUUAUUGGGGAAUAAAGUGCUUCACGUGUGGAGUUAUGUAUGUACCCAUUGAAUAAGCAUCGGCUAACUCCGUGCCAGCAGCCGCCGUAACAC